rnacentral:lncRNA from 1 species
CUGGUCCGGCAGCUGCGGCGACCGGCGGCCGGACAGACCCUCCCGGGCCCUGCGCCGAGAGCCAGCUGGUGCGGGGUCUGUGCCACCGCCACCGGGGUCCCGCGCGAGGGUGCGCCCCCGGUCCGGCGCCGCUGCGUAGCGGCCGCCACCUUCGUCGCUGUGGGGAACUUUGUGCGGCGGCCGGCCCGGCAGGUGGGCGAGGGCGGCCGGGCUCCGGCGAAGCGCGCCGAGUAGGUGAGUGGGGUCGGGAAGUUGGGGCGCGAGUGUGGACGCUCUCCCCUGCAGGACGCCGGCCCUCGCGAGUAGUUUUCCUCGCCCCCCUCCCCCCACAUCUGGUCCCAUCCAGAGUUUCACUCAGGACCUGGGAUCGACGCCCCCGUCGAGUAGGCUAACUCGCUGAAAGUGUGUUUACUCGGGCGAAAGAGAGUCAUUCGGACAGCCACUCCUCCUGGCUGGGGGAGUGACACGCCGGUCCCAGCCUCCAGCCCCAAGCCGCACCUUGGGCUCCACGGGGACCUGAGAGCCCCGGCAGCCCCGGGGCUACGACGGCACGUGGAGCUCGCCCCAAGCCUCUUCCUAGGACUCGGGGGGGUGUGACAGGCCACCGCCCUCCCUUCCGUCCCUUUAAUUUGGGCAGAAGAGGGCUACUGAGAUACAGGACACAAACUUCGUUUUCACACAGUAAAACUGCCUUUCCAGUGUUUUAAUACAGGACGUGCAUAUGCGAUUCAUCGUGGUCUCCUCGGGACACCUCCUGGGCGCAGGGCUGGACCGGCUGGCCCACGGGCGGGGAGAUUCAGGGCGCGAGUGGGUGCCCCGGGGCGCGGGGACGGGGCUGGUCCUCCCCGCCUGGGUCUGGCCCUGGCCCGUGUAUGAAGACCCAGGAUGGUCCCGGCGCGCUGGCCCCUGCUGGGGAAGGAGGUGACCCGCGGUGGGCGGCGCGGGGUCCCUGCGCUGGGCUGGGCUCCAUGUUCUCGACCCCCUCUGCCCUGCUCCUCGCUCUGUCCCGAGGGUGCUCCUGCCUGGUGGCCCGGCAGAGGGCGCUAGCUCCCGAUCGCUGCGCGGGCCGGCGGAGGGGAGGGGACUUGUGCGAGCCUCCAGGUAAGGAGCGUAGUGAAUCAUCCCGAGAGGGGGGACCCGGCCCGCGCUCCGCGAAAGGAGGCGGGGAGUGGCCGUGGUGCAGUCGAGAAGUCGGGGCUGCCGAGUUGCUGUCCGGCGGGAAGCGGCGAUUCUGCUCUGGGGAAAGCUCAGGAAGAUUCUAGCCACAUUGGAGACUGGUUGUUUUCCAAAACUAAAGGAGAAGCCCAUGAAGGGAUGGUGAAUUCUUUUUGAGUUUUGAGUAACAAAAUAAAGGUAAUUAUUGAUGCUUUCA